AUUGAACGCUGGCGGCAUGCUUUACACAUGCAAGUCGAACGGUAACAGGCCGCAAGGUGCUGACGAGUGGCGAACGGGUGAGUAAUGCAUCGGAACGUGCCCAGUCGUGGGGGAUAACUACUCGCAAGAGUAGCUAAUACCGCAUACGAUCUAUGGAUGAAAGCGGGGGACCGUAAGGCCUCGCGCGAUUGGAGCGGCCGAUGUCAGAUUAGGUAGUUGGUGGGGUAAAGGCUCACCAAGCCAACGAUCUGUAGCUGGUCUGAGAGGACGACCAGCCACACUGGGACUGAGACACGGCCCAGACUCCUACGGGAGGCAGCAGUGGGGAAUUUUGGACAAUGGGCGCAAGCCUGAUCCAGCAAUGCCGCGUGCAGGAAGAAGGCCUUCGGGUUGUAAACUGCUUUUGUACGGAACGAAACGGCUCUGGUUAAUACCCGGGGCUAAUGGCGGUACCGUAAGAAUAAGCACCGGCUAACUACGUG
rnacentral:rRNA from 1 species